GGCGGGGAGCGCUGCCGGGGCUGCCCGGGCGCCGCCUGAUCGGAAAGCGGCGCGGCCGCGGCUGGCAGCGGCGGGGCUACCGCGAGGGGCCCGGGGUAGCGGCGAGCCGCGGCGGGGCCGGCGGCGCUGGGCGCCCGCACGGGCCGGCCGGGGAGAGGGAGGAGCGGGGUCCUCCGCGGGCCCGGGUGAGGUCACUCUUUGUGGCUGCAGUUGGCAAGAUGGCGCCGGUGCUGGUGGAGAAGAAGCUGCUGGGGCCGGACGGGCCCGGCGGUGCGGAGCUCCCCAGCGAGGAGGAGGAGGGACAGAACCUCUGGUCCUCAAUACUGAGUGAAGUUUCUACCCGAUCAAGAUCUAAAUUGCCAUCGGGCAAGAAUAUUCUUGUUUUUGGUGAUGAUGGUUCAGGUAAAACCACGCUUAUGGCUAAAAUACAGGGAGCAGAGCAUGGCAAGAAAGGAAGAGGGCUGGAAUACUUGUAUCUAAAUAUUCACGAUGAAGACAGAGAUGAUCACACUCGCUGUAAUGUUUGGAUUCUGGAUGGAGACUUAUACCAUAAAGGGCUAUUGAAGUUUGCAGUUUCUGCAGAAUCCCUGCAAGACACCAUUGUAGUCUUUGUUGCAGAUAUGUCUAGACCUUGGACUGUUAUGGAGUCUUUACAGAAAUGGGCCAGUGUCUUGCAAGAACAUAUUGAUAAGAUGAAAAUUCCUCCAGAGGAGAUGAGAGACAUGGAACAGAAGUUUAUAAAGGAGUUUCAAGAAUAUGUAGAACCUGAAGAAGGCUACCAAGGAUCACCUCAGAGAAGAGGCCCUUCUUCUGGCCAAGAGGAUGAACAUGUGUCUUUGCCACUUGGAGAAAAUGUGCUGACUCACAACCUUGGUAUUCCUGUGCUGGUAGUUUGUACAAAAUGUGAUGCAGUGAGUGUACUAGAGAAGGAGCAUGAUUACAGAGAAGAACACUUCGACUUCAUUCAGUCACACAUUCGUAGAUUCUGCUUACAGUAUGGGGCUGCCUUGAUUUAUACAUCAGUUAAGGAGGAAAAAAACCUUGAUCUGUUGUAUAAGUACAUUGUACAUAAAACAUACGGUUUUCAGUUUACCACGCCUGCCUUAGUGGUAGAAAAGGAUGCAGUUUUUAUACCUGCGGGUUGGGACAAUGAAAAGAAAAUUGCCAUUUUACAUGAAAACUUCAUAACAGUGAAACCAGAAGAUGCAUAUGAGGACUUCAUUGUAAAACCUCCUGUAAGAAAGUUAGUCCAUGAUAAAGAGCUGGCAGCAGAAGAUGAACAAGUAUUUCUUAUGAAGCAGCAGUCAUUCCUUGCCAAACAGCCAGCAACGCCUACAAGAGCAUCAGAAUCUCCUGCAAGAGGACCUGCAGGAUCCCCAAGAACUCAAGGCAGAGCUGGUCCCGCCAAUGUACCCAGUGCCUCACCAAUAACAUCAGUUAAGAAACCAGAUCCAAAUAUUAAAAAUAACGCUGCAAGUGAAGGUGUCUUGGCUAGUUUCUUUAACAGUCUCUUGAGCAAAAAGACUGGCUCUCCUGGGAGUCCUGGUGCUGGAGGAGUGCAGAGUACAGCCAAGAAAUCAGGACCUGUUACCCUAUCAUAGAAAGAAAUUUGGUUGGCUUGACGCAACUUGUUGGUAACAGAUCCAUGUUGAUUGUUGCGCUGGACAGAAAACAGUUUUAACAAAUGUUCAAGAGGAAUUGGAUAGGAUGACUCGCAAGCCAGACUCUAUGGUAACAACAAACUCUCCUCCAACAGAGAAUGAAGCUUGAUAGCGCAUAAAAAAUGCAUAUGUAAAUGACCAAAUAACUAUGUAUAUUGAUCUGAUAAGACCAGGAAUUUUCUGCUAUGGCAGAUGCUAUCAGUUUUCUUGGGCAGGGGAAAUGAGCUUACUACAUCAUUGCCUUGUCCCAGUAAAAAGUGCACAUUCAGGAAGUUUGCAUAUAAAAUCCCUCUGUAUAAGAUAACCAUUUAGAGUUUAUAUAGGGCAAUUCUUUUGGUUUUGGAGGUAAGCAGGUGCAGCUGCAUUUCCUGUUGUGAAGAACACAGAGAAGCAAAAUGGAGAAUUCUUUCUAAAAUACUACUACUGACUGCACACAAGGCAAGAAAGAGAAAUUAAACCCUCUUUCAGAGUUACUGGAAUUGGCUACUUGUAUGUUUGCAAAUGCAUUAUAUUCUUGGAAAGGUGGUGGUGGUGUAAUAGAGCAUUAAUUAGGUGACAGAAGCCUAGGUAGGGAACGGAGCCCUAAAAGGGGAAACAGAUUUGCGACAGUGAGAAACUAGAAUGUUGGGUUGGCUGGAGAGGAGCAAUGUUGUUAAAUCCUGUGUUUCACAUAGGGUAAAUAAUCACUGUUUUAAAGAGACUACUUUACAUUGGAGAAUUCCAGGCCAAACACUAAGCAUCAUGGGAAUUUAUUCUUGUUAUAAAUCUUGUUUUAGUUUUUAAAACCUCUAAGAGUGUGGAUGCCCUUUCUGGUGUAGCUGACAAAGGGAGAAACUAUAACUUGUUUAGAUCCAAGUGCCUGGCACAGUGUGUGAUGUGUCUUUAGAAGGUGCUUGAAUUUAUUGUGCACUGUAGUACAAACAGUCACUGUUUGGUUUUAUUUUAAAAUCGGUAGUUUGGCAACUUGUAUUUAAUUUUAAAUCCUGUUUUCUGAUAGCUUCUGCCUUUUUUUAUGCCAAGAGGCUAGCCUAUGAAGAAUGGUGGGUGACGUAUCAUUUUCCCAUAAUGAAAUGUGCUACAGAACACUCUCAGUAUUUUUUCCUUACUUUUUGUAACUAAAUAUUAGCUACAAAGCUAAAAUUGAUUCCUGCCUUACACCUAUGGAGGUUUUUAAAAAAAACUUUCAAGGCCCUAGUUCCAACCACAUCUGCUGCAGGUGCAGCCAACUCCAGUUCGGACGGUAACCUAAAAAAUAUGAAUGCGUACGUGAUGAGCACACUCAAUAACUUGUUUUAUAUUUUCUUUAAUGUAGCAUUUCAUUUGGAAAGAUGGGUUGUGGUUGUCCCCGUUGCUCUAACGGAGCUCUGUCCAUGGUCACAUAAAACCAUCAUUCUGUACAAACAAACAAAACUGCUAUGGUUACUGAAAUGGCACUUUGAUUUUAUAUACAGUAUGCUUGUUUUACAUGUACACACUACCAUAAAUUAAAAAUGCCAAGCAUAUUCUGUGCUUUUAAUGCUGAAGGGAAAAACCACAAUUUGAAUUAUGCAGAGUUUACUUUUUAUUGAUAUGAACUUGUUGUACUAAAUCUGAUGUCUGGAUAUAACUUCCCUAAUAUAUAUUGUUACUUAAAUAUACAGAAUUAGAUUGACCACUAACACCGUACUGGAUGUUAACUUCAAAUCCUAUGUUACAUCAAGAGGCUGUUCUUGUAAGUCUGUCUAAACAUUAUCUAGAAAGCUAAGAGUAUUUACUUGCCUCUUUGACAAACAUUAACAUGAGUAUGUUAUUUGUGCCAGUUUUUUUUGUUGAAAAUACUAUAUUUUCUUUUUUUUUUUACUUUUUUUUAAUAAACAGUAUGACCUGAAGUUAUACAGUUGUCUAGAUAACAGUUAGACUAAGACUGUAGAUGGCUGAUGGGUAAUGUGGGUGUGCUUCCUGGUGUAAUGGGUGCCAGUUGCAAGUUACCACACCAGAAGAAGUAAUUACACACUGUCCUCUUGACACUGAGAAUUGAGAUUGGAGACUAAAACAUCAAAAACUUGACAGAAAAAUUGUAGAAGUGUGUGAUCGUAAUGGGAUAUAGUUUGAAAACCUCAGUCCGAAACUGCAUUUUUUUGUCAUCUAACCUGAUAAGCACUUUCUCUAGCAAUAUGGCUAAAACUUAAAAUUGAAGUACUUUCCAGUUCUAUAAAAAUGUUAAAUAUACUAAAAAUGAUCAAAACUGAUAAUGUAUGAUAACUUACUAGCUUUGCAGAAAGAUGCUUCUGACAAAACAGAAACAGAUUUCCAGUUUCUAAUUGCAAGUGAAUGCUCCUAGUGUACUGAAAGAAAGUUGUAAGUAAUGUAGCAUCCUGUGGUUGCCAAAGUCUGUCAACUUUGGUGAGCUGCACAGUUGUUAUUCUGGUGUCUUCAAGCAUUGGAACCAAAGGCCAAAUUGCAAACAGCCUUUACAUUUUCAAGUGAAACAUCAUUUUAUUUGCAGAUACACUUGUAUGGUAGACUGUUUAAACUAUUAUAUGACUAUAUUUAUAUGCAUUAUAGUGACUGCAUCUACUGUUCACGUUUAAACUAAGAAAACAAAAGAUGAAAGCAUUCAACUUGAAGCAAAUAGAAAAGUUUAAAGAUUGGCCCUCCAUAAAAAUGCUGUGGUUAUGCUGCUUGAUUUUAAGUUUGCACUUUUUUAUUGGCAUUUAAAAAACCUGUUUAAACUGAACAGAAUUUCGUAUUUUAUUUAAUUUAACUACAUUGAAAGUGACUGCUCUGUACAUCAUGAACUUAACAAUAUACAUGCUGUAAAUGGAAGUUCACUGUCCUGUAUACAAAGUUUAUUGUUUUUUUCCAACUUACAAUUAGGACUGCAAAUGUAUGAAACAAACCUUAGUCCAGUUGUAUGGCUUUAACCAGGUGCAGUAUGCAGUCAUGUGGAAUCUUGCUUUCUAGUGCUGGCAAAAUGAGGACGUCUUUAAUUACUGGCUUCAAUAAACACGAAUCCAGACUGCUUUA